AUUCCAAUCGAACUCGGAGAUAGCUGGUUCUCCCCGAAAUAGCUUUAGGGCUAGCGUUGCAUUAGAUUACCGGAGGUAGAGCACUGAAUUGGCUAGGGGGCGAUGAGCUUACUGAACCUUAUCAAACUUCGAAUGCCGGAUAAUUGAUGUGCAGCAGUCAGACAGUGUGAGAUAAGUUUCAUUGUCGAGAGGGAAACAGCCCAGACCCACAGCUAAGGUCCCAAAUAUAUGCUAAGUGGAAAACGAUGUGGGGUUGCGAAAACAACCAGGACGUUGGCUUAGAGGCAGCCACUCAUUGAAAGAGUGCGUAAUAGCUCACUGGUCGAGUGACCCUGCGCGGAAAAUAUAACGGGGCUAAGCAUAUAACCGAAGCUUGGGAUGUCUUUUAGACAUGGUAGGGGAGCGUCGUAUACGGGGUGAAGUGCGAGCGGAAGCACGUGUGGACUGUAUACGAGUGAGAAUGCCGGAAUGAGUAGCGAGAAUUAUGUGGGAAUCAUAAUGGCCGAAAAUCUAAGGUUUCUUGGGGAAGGUUCGUCCGCCCAAGGUAAGUCGGGAGCUAAGGCGAGGCCUGACGGCGUAGUCGAUGCACACACGGUUGAAAUUCCGUGACCACCGAAAGAUUUAAGCGAGCUGACACAUGGAGAUAGCCGGACCCCGGCGUUGGUCGACCGGGGCGAAAGGGACCGAACAUCAGUAGGGAAGCCGGCGAUGCUCUGUGGCGAGAAAAGGCUCGAGGUAUAUCUGAGGUGCCCGUACCGCAAACCGACACAGGUAGAUGAGGAGAGAAUCCUAAGGCCAGCGGGAGAAGGGUUGUUAAGGAACUCGGCAAAUUGACCCCGUAACUUCGGGAAAAGGGGAGCCUGCUACGGCAGGCCGCAGAGAAUAGGCCCAAGCGACUGUUUACCAAAAACACAGGUCUCUGCUAAAUCGAAAGAUGACGUAUAGGGGCUGACGCCUGCCCGGUGCCGGAAGGUUAAGAGGAGGGCUUAGCGCAAGCGAAGGUCUGAAUUGAAGCCCCGGUAAACGGCGGCCGUAACUAUAACGGUCCUAAGGUAGCGAAAUUCCUUGUCAGGUAAGUUCUGACCCGCACGAAUGGCGUAACGAUUUGGGCACUGUCUCAACAGCCCGCCCGGCGAAAUUGUUGUACUGGUGAAGAAGCCAGUUACCCGCAACUAGACGGAAAGACCCCAUGGAGCUUUACUGCAGCUUAAUACUGAAGAUUGGUAAUGCAUGUACAGGAUAGGUGGGAGCCUGAGAAACAGGGGCGUCAGCUUCUGCGGAGGCAGCCUUGGAAUACCACCCUUGUAUUGCUGGUUUUCUAACCUGCGGCCGUGAAUCCGGUCGGGGGACACUGUUAGGCGGGCAGUUUGACUGGGGCGGUCGCCUCCAAAAGAGUAACGGAGGCGCUCAAAGGUUGGCUCAGCACGGACGGAAAUCGUGCAAAGAGUGCAAACGCAGAAGCCAACUUGACUGCGAGACCGACGGGUCGAGCAGGUACGAAAGUAGGAGUUAGUGAUCCGGUGGUAUGUGAGUGGAAAUGCCAUCGCUCAACGGAUAAAA
rnacentral:rRNA from 1 species